GUAAAUAUAGUUUAAAAAAACCGUCAGACUGUGAAUCUGAAGAUAGGACAUAACCAUCCUUAUUUACC
rnacentral:tRNA from 1 species